ACACAUGCAAGUCGAACGGAAAGGCCCUUCGGGGUACUCGAGUGGCGAACGGGUGAGUAACACGUGGGUGAUCUGCCCUGCACUUUGGGAUAAGCCUGGGAAACUGGGUCUAAUACCGAAUAGGACCGCAUGCUUCAUGGUGUGUGGUGGAAAGCUUUUGCGGUGUGGGAUGGGCCCGCGGCCUAUCAGCUUGUUGGUGAGGUAAUGGCUUACCAAGGCGACGACGGGUAGCCCGGCCUGAGAGGGUGACCGGCCACACUGGGACUGAGAUACGGCCCAGACUCCUACGGGAGGCAGCAGUGGGGAAUAUUGCACAAUGGGCGCAAGCCUGAUGCAGCGACGCCGCGUGAGGGAUGACGGCCUUCGGGUUGUAAACCUCUUUCGCCAGGGACGAAGCGCAAGUGACGGUACCUGGAGAAGAAGGACCGGCCAACUACGUGCCAGCAGCCGCGGUAAUACGUAGGGUCCGAGCGUUGUCCGGAAUUACUGGGCGUAAAGAGCUCGUAGGUGGUUUGUCGCGUUGUUCGUGAAAACUCACAGCUUAACUGUGGGCGUGCGGGCGAUACGGCAGACUUG
rnacentral:rRNA from 1 species